rnacentral:rRNA from 1 species
UACGUAGGGUGCAAGCGUUUGUCCGGAAUUAUUGGGCGUAAAGAGCUCGUAGGCGGUUUGUCGCGUCGAAUGUGAAAACCCGGGGCUCAACCCCGGGCCUGCAUUCGAUACGGGCAGACUAGAGUUCGGUAGGGGAGUCUGGAAUUCCUGGUGUAGCGGUGAAAUGCGCAGAUAUCAGGAGGAACACCGGUGGCGAAGGCGGGACUCCUGGGCCGAUACUGACGCUGAGGCGCGAAAGCCAGGGGAGCGAAACGGG